UGAAGCACAUUUGUUUGCUUUCGGCAUUAGCCCAUUGAUACUACACACAAAGUUGCCGCCCGCGAAAGUUAUCAUAGACAUUAGAGUAUAAAGGAAUUAGAAACUGCAUAGGCAGAACAAAUUUGAAGUUAUCGCCGCAUAAACUCUAAUUUUACGCAUGCAUAACUUCGAAAGAAAAAAUAAUUAUCAUGUGGUUCCACGUGUAUUGUACAACAGUACAAGUAAUUGUCAGAUAUGAAGGACGAGGGGAAAGAAGAGCAUGAAUGAUGGAGACACUAGAGACAGAAGGAAAGAAGUGGUAAUUAGAAGAUGCUGAAUUACAACAUGUGCAAAGCCUCUCAGCUUAACGUAUUCCUGAAUUACAUAGGCAAUCGUGCUUGUUCAUGGCUAAUGUUUUUCUUCACAACUUUCUCUAAGCUGUUCUACAUUGGUCUCUGAAUCUUGUAGUAGCUGUUACAGAAGGCAUAUUAUUUCCAUUGUAGUAGCCUCCAAUAUAUUGAAUUGCUGCUAUUUCAUCUGCAGUUAUAUCUUCCUCGAUAUUUGUUGAGGCAGGUGUUGAGAUCUGCAAACUCUUCAAAGUAUUGUGUAAUAUUUGGUGUUGUUUAAAAUGAUGGAGUUUUUGGUAAUUGCUCCUUCAGUAAAGCAUUGCCAGAAUAUUUCAUAAUUUGAAGGACUGGUAAAAGGGAGUAGAGAAUGGAGCAGUUUUGUGUGGGGAAAUUUUGCCUUUGAUGUAGUAAUAGCGAUAUUGCU